UCGCGGCUUAUCACCGGCAGUCGCCUUAGAGUGCUCAACUGAAUGUGGCAACUAAUGGCAAGGGUUGCGCUCGUUGCGGGACUUAACCCAACAUCUCACGACACGAGCUGACGACAGCCAUGCAGCACCUGUGUUACGGCUCUCUUUCGAGCACCCUCACAUCUCUAUGAGGUUCCGUACAUGUCAAGGGUAGGUAAGGUUUUUCGCGUUGUGUCGAAUUAAACCACAUCAUCCACCGCUUGUGCGGGCCCCCGUCAAUUUCUUUGAGUUUUAAUCUUGCGACCGUACUUCCCAGGCGGCACAUUUAUCGCGUUAGCUUCGCCACAAAAGGGGUCGAUUCCUUUUACAGCAAAUGUGCACCGUUUACAGCCGGGACUAC
rnacentral:misc_RNA from 1 species